rnacentral:rRNA from 1 species
UACGUAGGUGGCAAGCGUUUGUCCGGAUUUAUUGGGUUUAAAGGGUGCGUAGGCGGUCUUAUAAGUCAGUGCUGAAAUAUCCCGGCUUAACCGGGAGGGUGGCAUUGAUACUGUAGGACUUGAGUAGAGUUGAGGUUGGCGGAAUUGACGGUGUAGCGGUGAAAUGCUUAGAUAUCGUCAAGAACACCGAUAGUGAAGACAGCUAACUAAGCUCUAACUGACGCUGAGGCACGAAAAGUGUGGGGGAUCAAACAGG